GCGGCCCGGGCGCUUUGUGGACGCGCUCGGCGCUCACCUAGGACUGUCACCGGCUCCUCCGGGGCCCGCGGGAGCGCUCCCGAAAGACCCCGCGGGUGUUGGUGACGGUGUCGGGAUCCCGGUCCCCACCGGCCCCGAGAACUACUCCUUCCCCGUGCCCCGCUCAGCGCGAAAGCUGCGGGAAGCUCCAAUCUAAGGCAACUGGUUGGUUUUUGGUUUUGAGCUUUUUUGUUUUUUAACUCAACUGCUUAACCCCCUAGCACUGCCCUUAUGUGAAUGAGACUGUAGACCUCUAAUUAUAAUUCUUGCUUAUUUCUCCUUUUUCAUUGUCAUUUCUGGAAUACGGCAGUUGAUUCCUUUCUACGUGGAGGUGUGUGUAAACAUGUAUACAUUCAUACAGUGCGCGCAUAAGUUGCUAUGAUCAAUAUUCAACUGUUUGUAGAGACUAUGACAUUCUAUGGUGACUAAUCUUCAAGUCACUAAGUCAUGUCCGACUCUUUCCGGACCACAUGGACUGUAGCCCUCGGGACUCC